rnacentral:rRNA from 1 species
UUGGGUAGGGGAGCGUUCUGUAAGCCUGUGAAGGUGUGCUGUGAGGCAUGCUGGAGGUAUCAGAAGUGCGAAUGCUGACAUAAGUAACGAUAAAGCGGGUGAAAAGCCCGCUCGCCGGAAGACCAAGGGUUCCUGUCCAACGUUAAUCGGGGCAGGGUGAGUCGACCCCUAAGGCGAGGCCGAAAGGCGUAGUCGAUGGGAAACAGGUUAAUAUUCCUGUACUUGGUGUUACUGCGAAGGGGGGACGGAGAAGGCUAUGUUGGCCGGGCGACGGUUGUCCCGGUUUAAGCGUGUAGGCUGGUUUUCCAGGCAAAUCCGGAAAAUCAAGGCUGAGGCGUGAUGAC